ACCUAGCUGGCUCAGUUGGUAGAGCAUGUGACUCUUGAUCUUGGGGCUGUAGGUUCGAGCCCCAUGUUGGGCA
rnacentral:tRNA from 1 species